GAAGGAUUUGAAUAAUUUGUAUUACUGGCCUAAGGCUAAGGCUGCUUGCUUGCACAUGAAGUUAAGUACCUUUCUUAUCUCCUGCCCUUUAUUUUCCACCUAAGAACUCCAUUAUACUCUUUCUAUGUUAUAUAAAACUACCCUUAAUUUCCCCUAACCCAAAAACCCUCUUUCUUCAAUUUCAUCCCAUAAAUUUCCCAAACUCCCCCCACCGUACGUAUUACUAGCUGCUACACAAAAUGUGACUAAACUUGAUCUCCUCUAAAACUUUUAAGAAUUAGAUAGCUAGCUAGCUGGGGAGUCGCUAAAUCAAUAUUAAUUAAUUGUUUCGCCCAGUUCUGUCCAAUCGAUCCAUCGUGUCAUGGCGGUAGGUAGUAUUCGAAAGUUAGUGGUGGAGGUGGUGGAUGCCCGUAAUCUUUUGCCGAAAGAUGGGCAUGGAACGUCGAGUCCUUACGUGAUUCUUGAUUUCUAUGGUCAAAGAAGAAAGACAAGAAGCAUUAUCUGUGACCUAAAUCCGGUAUGGAAUGAGACCGUUUCUUUUAAUGUUGGGAAGCCAUCUAGUGUUUUCGGUGACAUGCUUGAGGUGGAUGUUUAUCACGAUAAAAACAUCGGUCCUACUACUAGAAAUAAUUUCCUCGGUAGAGUUCGCUUGAAUUCCCGCCAGUUUGUUAGGAGAGGCGAGGAGGCUUUGAUUUAUUAUACUCUGGAGAAAAAGAAUUUGUUUUCUUGGAUUCAAGGUGAAAUCGGUUUAAAGAUUUAUUUUACGGAUCAUGAGCCUUCUCCGCCACCAGCACCACCCCCUCCCCCUCCACCACAGCAGGAAACUAAGUCUGAUCCACCACCACCAAUUGCAGAGGGAGCACCAGAAGCUGCAAAUUCUGAUCCGCCACAACCGGAUGGUGGCAAUCCAAGUGAAGCUGCGCCUCCACCGCCGCCUGCUGACGCCGUACCGCCACCUCCACCGCUGUCUGCUGACGCCGUAGCUUCACCUCCAGCUGAAAACGGGCCGUCAGCUGCUAAUGCUGGGGCACCAACAACACCGCCACUUGCUGAAGCUGCACCAUCGCCGCCGGCGAAUGUCACUCCUGAAGCUGAGCCCCUAGUCCAAGGAGCUAACAAUCCAGUGGAAGCUGCUUCAACACAAGAGGCACAAUUGGAUCCUCAUCAAAUGAAGGCAUCUAUAGAAUCAGGAUCAAUACCAGAAGUCAAAGUCGGUAGUACAUACGGUCCACGACCAAUCUCACGCGCUGCAUCAGUCAGUAGCUUCAUAUCAGACGCAUCAGACAACAUUUCAAUCGAACGUCCCUCAUUCGACCUUGUGGAGAAAAUGCACUACCUCUUCAUUCGAGUUGUCAAAGCUCGAUCUCUCCCUACUCCCGGCAAUCCGGUGGUCAAGAUUAUUGUAUCAGGUUCCCAAGUCACAUCCAAACCCGCUCGUAUAACCAUGUUCUUCGAGUGGGAUCAAACUUUUGCAUUCAGCCGCGACGCACCAGAUUCCUCUUCCAUCCUAGAAGUGUCAGUGUGGGACUCGCUAAUUUCCAGCUCGACGUCUGACGUGGCAGGUCAUAGCUUCUUAGGUGGCAUAUGCUUCGAUGUGACUGAGAUCCCACUGCGGGACCCACCGGAUAGCCCGCUGGCUCCGCAAUGGUACAGACUUGAAGGAGGUGGCGCCCAUAAAGGCGAUCUCAUGCUUGCCACGUGGGUUGGGACACAAGCUGACGAGUCAUUCCCAGAAGCAUGGAAGACCGACACAGCCGGUAAUCCCAGUUCACGAUCUAAAGUCUACCAAUCACCUAAAUUGUGGUAUUUGAGAUCAACCGUGAUUGAGGCCCAAGACAUAUCCGGGUUAGCGCCGUCAAGAGAUUCAUCCUUCCAAGUUAAAGCUCAGUUGGGAUUUCAAGUACAAAAGACUAAGCUAUCUCCCACACGUAACGGAUCUCCGUCAUGGAAUGAAGACUUGAUGUUUGUAGCUGCUGAGCCAUUUAGUGACAGCCAACUAGUAUUCUUUCUAGUGGAAUACCGGGAACCUAAAGAACAGGUUAUCCUAGGGGUUGCUAGCAUACCACUCACGUCCAUAGAGCGCCGUGUUGACGACCGGAAUGUGGUAUCAAGAUGGUUCACCUUUGAAGAUCCAAAUCAAGACAAGAGAGUAUAUAAAGGUAGGGUCCACCUAAGGGUAUGUUUCGACGGUGGAUAUCACGUGAUGGAUGAAGCUGCUCACGUGUGUAGCGAUUAUCGUCCGACCGCGAAGCAGCUUUGGAAACCCCCUGUUGGGACAGUUGAGCUGGGGAUCAUUGGAUGCAAGAAUUUAUUACCUAUGAAGACCAUCAACAACAAGGGUUCUACUGACGCAUAUGCAGUGGCGAAGUAUGGUAACAAAUGGGUACGCACUCGCACGGUGUGUGAUACCCUGGACCCGAAAUGGAAUGAGCAGUACACGUGGAGGGUUUACGAUCCGUCCACAGUGUUGACGAUUGGUGUUUUUGACGGUUGGGAAGUAUUCGAAUCAGACGGCCAGAGAGUGUCCACGCGCCCUGAUUUUCGGAUUGGAAAGGUACGCAUACGAAUCUCCACCCUAGAGACUGGUAAGGUGUACAAAAAUAUGUUUCCAUUGCUUUCGUUAUCUCCUGCUGGAUUAAAGAAAAUGGGUGAAAUAGAGGUGGCCGUACGAUUCGCACGUGCGACUCCCACGCUAGAUAUUUUGCACUUGUACUCGAUGCCUCUAUUGCCCAUAAUGCACCACAUCAAGCCUAUUGGUGUGAUGCAACAAGAGAUGUUGAGAUCCACGGCUGUUAAGAUCGUGUGCGCACACUUGUCACGAUCUGAGCCACCCCUUCCACGCGAGGUCAUAACGUAUAUGCUGGAUGCCGAUUCGCACGCGUUCAGCAUGCGUAAAGUGCGUGCCAAUUGGUUCCGAAUCAUCAACGUGAUUGCGGGGGUGAUUGAUAUCAUAAAAUGGAUGGAGGAGACGCGUUGUUGGAGGAAUCCGACUGCUACGGUGUUGGUACAUGCAUUGUUGGUGAUGCUGGUGUGGUUCCCUGAUUUAAUUAUCCCCACCUUGGCAUUUUACAUGUUUGUAGUUGGGGUGUGGAAUUAUAGGUUAAGGUCACGGGAGCCACUGCCGCACUUUGAUCCCAAGAUCUCAUUGGCGGAUACGAUUGAUCGGGAUGAGCUGGAUGAAGAGUUUGAUGNNNNNNNNNNNNNNNNNNNNNNNNNNNNNNNNNNNNNNNNNNNNNNNNNNNNNNNNNNNNNNNNNNNNNNNNNNNNNNNNNNNNNNNNNNNNNNNNNNNNAGUUUGAUAUUUUUUUAUUAUUAUAAUGUUGAGAUAUUGGACUACAUUAAAUAUAUUAUUCAUUUGUUCCAUCUUUAAUGUAAUAGUCAAUAUUUUAGUUUUUUAAAUUGAUUAAAAAAUCAUAAUUAAUAGUCAUUAUUGAGAAGAAGUUUCACUAGCCUUAUUUGUGGAAUAGAACCAUAUAUGUGUGUAUAUAUAUAUAUAUACUUUUUAAUCUCUCUCUCCGGCCCUUGGUCCAUACAAAAGUAUGGUCAGUUUGAAAAAGUAGAAGAGAAUCUUCAUCAACUAAAGGAAGGGAUUAAUAUUAUCAAUAUGGUAAUGAUUUAAAAUCAUAUAUAGGGGGAAUCAAAUGUUAACAAUUAAUAUGGUACCUAUUUUUGUUCAAAUUCUAUCACUUAUGUUAGUAACUAUUUUUGGUUUUUGAAUUAUGAUUCAUCUUAUAUUUAUUUACAUAUUUUGCGCCUAUAAGUUUUACAAUGUAUAGUAUGAAUAUAAGUUUGAAUAUCACUGCGCGCAAUUUAAUUUAUACUUAUAAUGCGCGUCUCUUUCUUCUUAGCAAUACAAAGACAAGCACGUAUAUAUACAUACAUAUAAUAUAUACUGUAAAAGCAGUGCGAAAGAAAACGAAAAAAGUGAAAAAGUAGAAUCUAAAUGCUGGAAAAGGAAAAUAUUAUCUUAAGAAGCAAUAAGUAAAGCAAUAUUAUUAAUUAAUAUAUAAGAAAAAGAAGGAUUUGAAUAAUUUGUAUUACUGGCCUAAGGCUAAGGCUGCUUGCUUGCACAUGAAGUUAAGUACCUUUCUUAUCUCCUGCCCUUUAUUUUCCACCUAAGAACUCCAUUAUACUCUUUCUAUGUUAUAUAAAACUACCCUUAAUUUCCCCUAACCCAAAAACCCUCUUUCUUCAAUUUCAUCCCAUAAAUUUCCCAAACUCCCCCCACCGUACGUAUUACUAGCUGCUACACAAAAUGUGACUAAACUUGAUCUCCUCUAAAACUUUUAAGAAUUAGAUAGCUAGCUAGCUGGGGAGUCGCUAAAUCAAUAUUAAUUAAUUGUUUCGCCCAGUUCUGUCCAAUCGAUCCAUCGUGUCAUGGCGGUAGGUAGUAUUCGAAAGUUAGUGGUGGAGGUGGUGGAUGCCCGUAAUCUUUUGCCGAAAGAUGGGCAUGGAACGUCGAGUCCUUACGUGAUUCUUGAUUUCUAUGGUCAAAGAAGAAAGACAAGAAGCAUUAUCUGUGACCUAAAUCCGGUAUGGAAUGAGACCGUUUCUUUUAAUGUUGGGAAGCCAUCUAGUGUUUUCGGUGACAUGCUUGAGGUGGAUGUUUAUCACGAUAAAAACAUCGGUCCUACUACUAGAAAUAAUUUCCUCGGUAGAGUUCGCUUGAAUUCCCGCCAGUUUGUUAGGAGAGGCGAGGAGGCUUUGAUUUAUUAUACUCUGGAGAAAAAGAAUUUGUUUUCUUGGAUUCAAGGUGAAAUCGGUUUAAAGAUUUAUUUUACGGAUCAUGAGCC
rnacentral:lncRNA from 1 species